rnacentral:rRNA from 1 species
AUUGAACGCUGGCGGCAGGCUUAACACAUGCAAGUCGAGCGGAGAUGAGGUGCUUGCACCUUAUCUUAGCGGCGGACGGGUGAGUAAUGCUUAGGAAUCUGCCUAUUAGUGGGGGACAACAUUCCGAAAGGAAUGCUAAUACCGCAUACGUCCUACGGGAGAAAGCAGGGGAUCUUCGGACCUUGCGCUAAUAGAUGAGCCUAAGUCGGAUUAGCGAGUUGGUGGGGUAAAGGCCUACCAAGGCGACGAUCUGUAGCGGGUCUGAGAGGAUGAUCCGCCACACUGGGACUGAGACACGGCCCAGACUCCUACUGGAGGCAGCAGUGGGGAAUAUUGGACAAUGGGGGAAACCCUGAUCCAGCCAUGCCGCGUGUGUGAAGAAGGCCUUAUGGUUGUAAAGCACUUUAAGCGAGGAGGAGGCUACUGAGACUAAUACUCUUGGAUAGUGGACGUUACUCGCAGAAUAAGCACCGGCUAACUCUGUGCCAGCAGCCGCUGUAA